rnacentral:rRNA from 1 species
AGCGAACGCUGGCGGCAGGCUUAACACAUGCAAGUCGAGCGGGCAUCCUUGUGGUGUCAGCGGCAGACGGGUGAGUAACGCGUGGGAACGUGCCCUUCGGUUAGGAAUAACUCAGGGAAACUUGAGCUAAUACCGGAUACGUGCGAGAGCAGAAAGGUUUAUCUGCCGAAGGAUCGGCCCGCGUCUGAUUAGCUAGUUGGUGAGGUUAUGGCUCACCAAGGCGACGAUCAGUAGCUGGUCUGAGAGGAUGAUCAGCCACACUGGGACUGAGACACGGCCCAGACUCCUACGGGAGGCAGCAGUGGGGAAUAUUGGACAAUGGGGGCAACCCUGAUCCAGCCAUGCCGCGUGAGUGAUGACGGCCUUAGGGUUGUAAAGCUCUUUUCUCCGGGACGAUAAUGACGGUACCGGAGGAAUAAGCCCCGGCUAACUUCGUG